CCUACGGGAGGCAGCAGUGGGGAAUAUUGCACAAUGGGGGAAACCCUGAUGCAGCGACGCCGCGUGAGUGAAGAAGUAUUUCGGUAUGUAAAGCUCUAUCAGCAGGGAAGAAAAUGACGGUACCUGAUUAAGAAGCCCCGGCUAACUACGUGCCAGCAGCCGCGGUAAUACGUAGGGGGCAAGCGUUUUCCGGAUUUACUGGGUGUAAGGGGAGCGUAGACGGCAGCACAAGUCUGGAGUGAAAUGCCGGGGCUUAACCCCGGUACUGCUUUGGAAACUGUGCAGCUAGAGUGCAGGAGAGGUAAGUGGAAUUCCUAGUGUAGCGGUGAAAUGCGUAGAUAUUAGGAGGAACACCAGUGGCGAAGGCGGCUUACUGGACUGUAACUGACGUUGAGGCUCGAAAGCGUGGGGAGCAAACAGGAUUAGAUACCCUUGUAGUC
rnacentral:rRNA from 1 species